CAGCAGCCACGGGAAUACGUAGGGUCCGAGCGUUGUCCGGAAUUAUUGGGCGUAAGAGCUCGUAGGCGGUCUGUCGCGUCUGCCGUGAAAUCCUCAGGCUCAACCUGAGGCGUGCGGUGGGUACGGGCAGGCUAGAGUGCGGUAGGGGUGAAUGGAACUCCUGGUGUAGCGGUGGAAUGCGCAGAUAUCAGGAAGAACACCGAUGGCGAAGGCAGUUCUCUGGGCCGUAACUGACGCUGAGGAGCGAAAGCGUGGGGAGCGAACAGGAUUAGAUACCCCUGUAGUCCCUGUCUCUUAUAAA
rnacentral:rRNA from 1 species